rnacentral:rRNA from 1 species
UUACUGAGACACGGUCCAGACUCCUACGGGAGGCAGCAGUAGGGAAUCUUCCGCAAUGGGCGAAAGCCUGACGGAGCAACGCCGCGUGAGUGAUGAAGGGUUUCGGCUCGUAAAACUCUGUUAUUAGGGAAGAACAUAUGUGUAAGUAACUGUGCACAUCUUGACGGUACCUAAUCAGAAAGCCACGGCUAACUACGUGCCAGCAGCCGCGGUAAUACGUAGGUGGCAAGCGUUAUCCGGAAUUAUUGGGCGUAAAGCGCGCGUAGGCGGUUUCUUAAGUCUGAUGUGAAAGCCCACGGCUCAACCGUGGAGGGUCAUUGGAAACUGGGAAACUUGAGUGCAGAAGAGGAAAGUGGAAUUCCAUGUGUAGCGGUGAAAUGCGCAGAGAUAUGGAGGAACACCAGUGGCGAAGGCGACUUUCUGGUCUGUAACUGACGCUGAUGUGCGAAAGCGUGGGGAUCAAACAGGAUUAGAUACCCUGGUAGCCCACGCCGUAAACGAUGAGUGCUAAGUGUUAGGGGGUUUCCGCCCCUUAGUGCUGCAGCUAACGCAUUAAGCACUCCGCCUGGGGAGUACGACCGCAAGGUUGAAACCCAAAGGAAUUGACGGGGACCCGCACAAGCGGUGGAGCAUGUGGUUUAAUUCGAAGCAACGCGAAGAACCUUACCAAAUCUUGACAUCCUUUGAAAACUCUAGAGAUAGAGCCUUCCCCUUCGGGGGACAAAGUGACAGGUGGUGCAUGGUUGUCGUCAGCUCGUGUCGUGAGAUGUUGGGUUAAGUCCCGCAACGAGCGCAACCCUUAAGCUUAGUUGCCGUCAUUAAGUUGGGCACUCUAGGUUGACUGCCGGUGACAAACCGGAGGAAGG